UUCACGGUGUGUUCAAUUCGGACAUCUGAGUGGACCGCUUCGACGGAGGUUGGACGACGCCAGGCUUUGUCCCACAGCUGGAGCCAGUUAACACCGCCCCGCGCAGCUGUCCCGCUCAGGGACGUCAGCUGCCGUGUCCUGGAGCAGCGCGCGCCGCGGAUCAUGGACAGCUCGGGCGUCCAAUACGCGCUGCGCACGCGGUGGGUUAACCUCAAAUUCCGCAGUCCGCGCACGGUCCCGCUGGUGGAAAUAUGGUGCGCGCUCCCGCAGUCAGGGCGCGGUCGUCCUGCUCCCGCGCAAAGCGCUGGAGGAAAUUCUGCCUGCAGUACCGGUAAUUCUCAUCGUCUGUGUCAACGGGACUUGUUUAGGUGAAAGGUGAAGUACAUGUGUAACCUGGACACAGCGGCACCACUCAGCAUCUCUCGGGUUUUCCUCCGAGGUCACUUGUUGUGACAAAAACAUCUGUGAAGCUGAAUUAUGACUCUUUUUACUUUUGAGUGUCACAAACACUCUCUGACGUGAUAAAUUUGAUCCAUUCGGUCCGAUAACAUUUUGAAACUCUUGAAGAGCCGCAUGAUUAAAUUAAAUUUUAGCUCUAUUCAACUUAGCCAGGUGCUAAACAGGAAGUUAGUGCCUGGCUAAGGUCCAGGUCUCACUAUAGGUCCAUGUGUUCGACCGUAUGACGGCUAGAUGUUAGAAUAGUUUGGUGAUGAAAAUGGAGGUGAAACAACGAAGACUGAAAAAUAGAAAAGUAAACAGUGACGGUCUGUGAUGAUGAAUAAAUGCUAAAUGAUGUUUUAAAUGAAAUGAAUCAAAUCAUUUGAUCAUUUAUCAGUCCAUCAUCUAAUGUUUGUGACUCGCAGCCCUCAGAGGCACCAGACGAGCGGUUCUCUUUGGGUUCAGUAUCCGGUCCUAAAUCCUAAAUACAUCUGAGCUGUGGACGCAGACAGCCGGAUCACCUGCCGGUCGUCCGGCUGUCGUCACAUCUCUGACAUUUAUUUUGAUGAAUUAAACACAAAGUCACAUGAAACAGUUAUUUAACCCUAAGACAUAAAAGAUCUUGUUGCCACAAUCCAUAAUUUUUCUGUUUCAUCACAUUUUUGAAAAAAACUUAAGAACUCAUUUAAUAUUAAUGAUCUGAAAUAAUUUCUACUGUUAAUCUGUGAUGAAGGAGCAGAAGUUAAUAAAGUGACUGUUUAAGUGAGAAUGAGGGUUCAGACCAGAUGAGACCAUCCUGGCGCUGACUACGGUUCUUGUGGCCUUUUGGAGCCUGUUGGGCCUCUCGGGUUUCCAGCCGAGCUGCAGAUCCUGAGGGAGGCGGUCAGGGGGGCGGCAGGGGUUCUGUAUCGAUCCGUGACCUUUAAUGACCUCUGAUUGAUGUGUUCGCACCAUGAAGAGCAGAACUUUGCUUCUGAGGAGCCGGAAGAGGAGAAAAUCUGACACAUUUAAACAAGUCUGAUCUUUUUCUGUUGUUGUAAAGUUCAGUUUUAAUGUCUGGGAUCAAUGAUAUUGAUAUGAUAUUUGGUCAUUUCUUACAAUUAUUUAUAGCUGAUUCUAGUUCAUACCUUCAUACAGUUUCUACAUGAACCGUGUGUGUGUGAUGUAAUUAAAACACUGUGCUUUCCUCUGUGUGUCUUUCCAGUGUGUUUAUUAAAUUACAAAGGUUAUUAUUAUUACUGUUAUUAGCAUCAUUACUGAAUCAUACAGUGUGAUCAUGUACAGUUUGAUUCUUCCAGCGGACUCACUGGGACAUGGAGACGACACAACUGUCUGGACUCUAGUCACUUUACAACAUACAGAGUGAGGAGGAGGAGGAGGAGGAGGAGGAAGAUGGACCCUCUGUCUCCACCAGCAGCAGCAGACUGAUCUCUGGGCAGCAGUUUGAGGCAAUAGCAGCAACUUUCUCAACAACUCAGGACUGAUUCUGCUGUCGUGUUGCUGCCCUGAGCUCCGUCGCUGCUCUCAGAGCGGCGGGAGCGAGUUAAAGAGCGACGACCCUCCUGGUACAAAGUUCCAGAGCUGAGAUUAAAGUGACACCGCUGCAAAAAAGGUUUUGGCCCCAUUUACACUUUUUCAGAUCAAAGUGUCUCAAAUCUGAGAAAAAAAACAGACGAGUUCAUAAACUGUCGUUUACACUCAGCCACGCGUACUUUAAACCAGCUGACUGGUCGAUGACACGUCAGAGAGCAGCCGCGCUGACGGACACACGAGCUGAUCAGACGUCAGAUCGUCGAUCGAUCAGACAAAUGAUCAACACGCUGUGAGCUCAGACUGAGGCUGUUACCAUUUGACUCAACAUGAACAUUCAGCUCUCUGAACAUGUGAUCAGCAGCGUGAUAAAGGAACAGUUCACACAAAAAAGUUCAGAUUGGCGGCAUGCUAAUACUGUUAAAUCUGCCGCUCCAGUGAAGACUUCAUCCUAAUAAAUCUGGUCUGAGAUCAAGUUGUCAGAUGUUCUCUCCUGCAGACUGGAGGACGAGAGGACUGAGUGUGGGUGAACUGCUCCUUUAAGGUUUCUGUUUCUUCAUUUCUCACCAACAAACUGAACCUGGAUCAGGUGUUUUCAGGACAUGUUCUCAUGUGAGCGCUGAAAGAGGAUCCUGCUCAUGAUUCCCUUCAUGUGCUCUGCUGUCUCUGACUCUGUUGCUCCUGCUGGAGGCUCAGAAACUCCAGGAGAAGAA